rnacentral:tRNA from 1 species
GCCCACUUAGCUCAGAGGUUAGAGCAUCGCAUUUGUAAUGCGAGGGUCAUCGGUUCAAAUCUGAUGGUCAGCU